rnacentral:rRNA from 1 species
ACGCAUGCAAGUCGAGCGAUGAGGCUCCCUUCGGGGAGUACAUCAGCGGCAGACGGGUGAGUAACACGUAGAUAACCUGCCCUCAAGACGGGGACAACCGGUGGAAACAGCGGCUAAUACCCGAUAUGCUCACAGGAUCGGGAGAUCGAGUGAGGAAAGCGCCCCUUCGGGGGAGAGUGUUUGAGGAGGGAUCUGCGGCCCAUCAGCUAGUUGGUGAGGUAACGGCUCACCAAGGCGAAGACGGGUAGGGGGUGUGAGAGCAUGGCCCCCACAAUGGGACUGAGACACGGCCAUACUCCUACGGAGCAGCAGCGGGGAAUAUUGCGCAAUGGACGGAAGUCAGACGCAGCGACGCCGCGUGGUGAGAAGGCUCGGGUGUAAAGCCCUUUUCAGGGACGAGAAAGGACGGUACCCUUGGAUAAGCGUCGGUAACUACGUGCCAGCAGCCGCGGUAAGACGUAGGACGCAAGCGUUAUCCGGAUUUACUGGGCGUAAAGCGCCUGUAGGCGGUCAAGUAAGUCGGAUGUGAAAGCCCCGUGCUCAACGCGGGGAAGCCAUUCGAUACUGCGUGACUAGAGAACGGAGAGGGAAACGGAAUUUCUGGUGUAGCGGUAAAAUGCGCAGAGAUCAGAAAUGAACACCGAUGGCGAAGGCAGUUUCCUAGGCCGCAUCUGACGCUGAGAGGCGAAAGCUAGGGGAGCAAACAGGAUUAGAGACCCUGGUAGUCCUAGCUGUAAACGAUGGAUGCUAGGUGUGGGCCGGAAAGGUCCGUGCCGUAGUUAACGCGAUAAGCAUCCC